rnacentral:rRNA from 1 species
UGCCAGACUCCUACGGGAGGCAGCAGUGGGGAAUAUUGGACAAUGGGGGGAACCCUGAUCCAGCGACGCCGCGUGAGUGAAGAAGUAUUUCGGUAUGUAAAGCUCUAUCAGCAGGGGAGAAAGAAAUGACGGUACCUGACUAAGAAGCCCCGGCUAACUACGUGCCAGCAGCCGCGGUAAUACGUAGGGGGCAAGCGUUAUCCGGAUUUACUGGGUGUAAAGGGAGCGUAGACGGCGAUGCAAGUCUGAAGUGAAAGGCGGGGGCCCAACCCCCGGACUGCUUUGGAAACUGUAUAGCUGGAGUGCAGGAGAGGUAAGUGGAAUUCCUAGUGUAGCGGUGAAAUGCGUAGAUAUUAGGAAGAACACCAGUGGCGAAGGCGGCUUUCUGGACUGAAACUGACGCUGAGGCACGAAAGCGUGGGGAGCGAACAGGAUUAGAUACCCGAGUA